rnacentral:lncRNA from 1 species
CCGGCAGUUUGAAACCCUUUUUUAACUAUCAAUUCAUUUGUAUGGGAACAUAUAUUUGGAAUCCCCUUUUCUCCUGGAUUGGACCCCUCUCCAUUUAAAAAUGGCCGGAACCCCCAAUGUAUAUUAAGUGGUUUAUGAGGAGAUGCGCUUACAAAACCGGCGAAACAUAUUGUACCGGUCCAACGGACGAACGGAAAGACGGACUUCUUUAUCACUAUAACCCCCCACUUGACAAAGUGGUGUACAAUUGAGUGUCAAAAAGACAGUUUUCUCGUUUGAAUUGUUUUACAUUGUCUUAUCGGGGCCUUUUAUAGCUUACUAUGCGGUAUGGGCUUUGCUCAUUGUUGAAGGCCGUACGAUGACCUAUAGUUGUUAAUGUCUGUGUAAAUACAUGCAUUUUUAUAUAACAACUAAAUCUGUGUGUUUGUACAAUUUUAAGUAUAACGGAGGACAUUUCUGAAACUUAUAUACUAGUAUACAUCAAACCUUCCUCUUAUUUUAGCAACAUUUAAACAUCCUUAUACUUAAUGUAGUAAGUCGAGUACACCCUAUCAAGCUAAAACAUGUUUCAUAAGUUUUCAGGAUGUGAAUGUAUUGAAAUAUAUUUGUGUUAUUUAGAAAAAUGCCAC